AUUGAACGCUGGCGGCAGGCCUAACACAUGCAAGUCGAGCGAGCGGCGGACGGGUGAGUAACGUAUGGAGACCUGCUCGAUAGAGGGGGAAAACUACUGGAAACGGUGGCUAAAACCGCAUACCACUCGCUGAACCCUGUAUGGAUUAUGUAGUAGGUGGGGUAAAGGCUCACCUAGGCGACGAUCUCUAUCUGGUCUGAGAGGGUGAUCGGCCACACUGGGACUGAGACACGGCCCAGACUCCUACGUGAGGCAGCAGUGGGGAAUAUUACACAAUGGGCGCAAGCCUGAUGCAGCAAUGCCGCGUGUGUGAAGAAGGCCUUCGGAUUGUAAAGUUCUUUCAUCAGGGAAGCGUUACCCACAGAGAAAGCAACGGCUAACUCCGUGCCAGCAGCCGCGGUAAUAC
rnacentral:rRNA from 1 species